AAAGAGUGUAAUCAUUACCUUUUUUGUUGCAUAUUGGAAAUAAAAUAUAAAAUCUAGUUCAUUAUCUUUUUACUUAAAGCUUAAAAUAAGAGCCGUUACACAAUAGACAAGAAGAGGCAGAAACAACCGUAUUUGUGGCGCAUGAUGCGUUGAUAUUGCAAAGACAAAGAAUGAGUUCACAACGUUUCAAUAAGCUACUUGAGUGACUAAAGCUCUAUAGGUAACUCAGUAUCCUUAAGUAAGGGCAUCGAAAAAAUUAUGCAAAUUAAAUAAGAUCUCUUCUAUCUUUACAUUCGAUUACCUUGAUUAUUUAUUGUCAUUUUACUAGCUCGAAUUGAUACAUAGGGCCUGUUUGGCCAUACGAUUUGAAA